AUGUCCCACCACACCGAUCCGUCACGCCGUCCGCGGUCUGGCCACAAGGUGGUGAUCGAGUCGCCGGCCAUGGAGCACCAGAUCUUUCUGCUCCGUCGCCACGCGGUUCUGCUAACCUCCACGGAGGAGCACCACGCCGCCAGCCCCAUGUCGGUGGGGCGCGCCUUUGACAUGCAGCUGCGCAUGCCGGCGCAUCUCCUGCGGAUCACGAGCCACGACCCGGAGGACUUCCUGGUCCAUUUCGAGCUGCCGGUGCACCGGGACAACGCCGUGCACCUGGGCUCCAUCAGCGUCGACGGUGUCAUCUUCAACAUCAAGCCGUGGCAUGAGGACGACCGCAUCGUGCACCAGGAGUUCCUUAUCCACGUCUGCGUCGUCAUCGAGCAGAUGUCGUUCCACCUCUGGUCGCUCGAGGGGGCGGCCGAGGUCCUGGGCGACAAGUGCAUCAUCGACCGCCUCGACAGCCGCACCCAGGAGCGCGGGCACAUGAAGACUUUCGCCUUCUGGGUGUGUGUGUGGGAUGUCGCGUUCAUCCCCACCCAACACACCAUCUGGAGGACGGCGCGGGGCGCAGGCCGUGUGGAGGCCAUGUACAGCUUCUCGUCGCCGAGCCGGGAAGUGGCACCGCUGCCGCUCGUCCGGUGCCAUGACAUGCCCGUCCACGUCGAUCGCCUCGAGGACUGGUCGCCCCUCUCGCCGCGCUCGUCGCAUUUUGCGCAGAGCGGUCUGCCCUCGUCGGAGUCGGAGGAUGCGCGCUCGGUCCCGUACAUCUGGCCGGGCACGUGGACAAUGCACGUCGAGGAAGGCCAAGGCAUGAGGCGCCACCCGGUCCUGGUGGCUCCAUUAGGCUGCGGCAGCGUGCGCCAGGGCGGGCCCUGCGACCGCGACGACCACGACAGUGGCAAGGGCGGGCGGCGCUCCUAG
rnacentral:rRNA from 1 species